rnacentral:lncRNA from 1 species
GGUGUUAUAAAUUUGAAGUUAAGGUGCAAUGGGUUAUGAGAAGCUUGACGUGAAGAUUGUGGUGGUUGGUCAUGUGGAUUCUGAGAAAUCAACCAACAGUACUGAGGAACCCAACAAGGCUGUUGUUGUGGAGGAGAACCAAGCUGAUGAGAUGAAUUAAUGUUAUAUGAGGUCCUUUAAUGAUCUCAGUGUGCAAAAAAGGGUACUAGAAAAUUAGUAAUGUUGAAAGAAAUAAAUAAUCUGGUACCCCUUAGUCUAUUUCUUUGUUAUGUUAUGUUAUGUUCAUUGAGAUGAGAGUUAUGGUGAAGACUGAAGAGUACUCUUCUGAUCUUGUAUCACUUUCACUCAAAGUUAAUUAAAUGCAUGUCUGUUAAUUUUUCUCUUAUGCUAAUUAAGAAGUGGUUCUCUUUAUUAUUAUUAUUAUUUAUUUUUUUAUUAAAGGGGAGGGUGUCCAAAUAAAGUUUCAAAGCACAUACAACAUCUGAGAAUUUUGACAACAUAAAACUUCAAUACAACUUAAAUACUCUAGUACCAAAGAAAGGAG